rnacentral:rRNA from 1 species
GACGUAGGGCGCGAGCGUUGUCCGGAUUUAUUGGGCGUAAAGAGCUCGUAGGCGGCUUGUCGCGUCGACUGUGAAAACCCGACCGGCUCAACCGUGUGGUCUGCAGUCGAUACGGGCAGGCUAGAGUUCGGUAGGGGAGACUGGAAUUCCUGGUGUGAGCGGUGGAAAUACGGCAGAUAUCAGGGAGGGAACACCCGGGUGGGCGAAAGGGCGGGGGUCUCUGGGCCCGAUACUGACGCUGGAGGGAGCGAAAGCGUGGGGGAGCGAACAGG